UUCUCCUGGAAACGGGUGGUAAUGCCGGAUGCUCCGACUCCUCGCAUGGGGUGUCGGGAAAGAUUUCAUCGGUAUGGGAUGGGGUCGCGUCCUAUCAGGUAGUCGGCGGGGUAACGGCCCACCGAGCCUACGACGGGUAGCCGGCCUGAGAGGGCGACCGGCCACAUUGGGACUGAGAUACGGCCCAGACUCCUACGGGAGGCAGCAGUGGGGAAUAUUGCACAAUGGGCGCAAGCCUGAUGCAGCGACGCCGCGUGCGGGAUGACGGCCUUCGGGUUGUAAACCGCUUUUGAUCGGGAGCAAGCCUUCGGGUGAGUGUACCUUUCGAAUAAGCACCGGCUAACUACGUGCCAGCAGCCGCGGUAAUACGUAGGGUGCAAGCGUUAUCCGGAAUUAUUGGGCGUAAAGGGCUCGUAGGCGGUUCGUCGCGUCCGGUGUGAAAGUCCAUCGCUUAACGGUGGAUCUGCGCCGGGUACGGGCGGGCUGGAGUGCGGUAGGGGAGACUGGAAUUCCCGGUGUAACGGUGGAAUGUGUAGAUAUCGGGAAGAACACC
rnacentral:rRNA from 1 species